rnacentral:rRNA from 1 species
CCUACGGGUGGCAGCAGUGGGGAAUAUUGGACAAUGGGGGGAACCCUGAUCCAGCGACGCCGCGUGAGUGAAGAAGUAUUUCGGUAUGUAAAGCUCUAUCAGCAGGGAAGAAAGAAAUGACGGUACCUGACUAAGAAGCCCCGGCUAACUACGUGCCAGCAGCCGCGGUAAUACGUAGGGGGCAAGCGUUAUCCGGAUUUACUGGGUGUAAAGGGAGCGUAGACGGCGAGGCAAGUCUGAAGUGAAAGGCGGGGGCCCAACCCCCGGACUGCUUUGGAAACUGGAUGGCUGGAGUGCAGGGGAGGUAAGUGGAAUUCGUAGUGUAGCGGUGAAAUGCGUAGAUAUUAGGAGGAACACCGGUGGCGAAGGCGGCUUACUGGACUGUAACUGACGUUGAGGCUCGAAAGCGUGGGGAGCGAACAGGAUUAGAUACCCGGGUAGUC